ensembl:rRNA 5S_rRNA 5S ribosomal RNA
AUCUAUGGCCAUGCUACCCUGAACAAGCCCAAUCCCACCUGAUCUCAGAAGCUAAGCAAGAUUGGGCCUGGUUAAUUCUUGGAUGGGAGACCACGUAGGAAGACCGGGUGCUGUAGGCA